UUUCUUAAAAUAACUCCCCUAAUUUUUAUUAUAUAUACAUGUUCCAAAGCCUCAUCCUCAAAUACGGUUUAGAUUUCUUAAACCUAUAGAAAUAUCAAUUUUCAAAAUUGAACCUCAAAACAUAACCAUGUUGAACAAUCUCAAUCCUUUGUCAAACAACUAUACACUCAAGUUGAAGAUCAUUUCCCUUUGGAGGAAAAUGAUGCACGGCCGUCCGACUGAAACUUACCGUGUCGACAUGAUAUGUAUGGAUGAAGAGGGUCAACAGAUUUAGGGUAGUUGUAUGCAUAGGAUUUUCCCAAGGCUUCAGGACAGCUCUGGAUGAAUGUCUUCUGAUAACCAGACAAUCACUUGCACCCAACAAUUCAACCUAUAACUACACCAAAAAUAAUCAGAAGUUAACUUUCAGUUUUUUCACCCAGAUUCAAAAAAGUCAAGAUUGGAACGGGCCUAAGUAUAACUUCAAUUUUAUGAAUUUCAAGGACGUUGUCCAAAAUUGAAUUGAAGUUAAUACCACUGUUGGUAUGUCAUUUAAUUCAACAUGUUUUA
rnacentral:lncRNA from 1 species